UACAUGGGGUGCAAACGUUGCUCGGAAUUAUUGGGCGUAAAGCGCACGUAGGUGGUUUGUUAUGUCGGAUGUGAAAGCCCUCGGCUCAACUGAGGAAGUGCAUCCGAAACUGGCAAGCUAGAGUAUGUAAGAGGGUCGCGGAAUUCCCGGUGUAGAGGUGAAAUUCGUAGAUAUCGGGAGGAACACCGGCGGCGAAGGCGGCGACCUGGGACAAUACUGACACUGAGGUGCGAAAGCGUGGGGAGCAAACAGG
rnacentral:rRNA from 1 species